rnacentral:rRNA from 1 species
CGUAGGGCGCAAGCGUUAUCCGGAAUUAUUGGGCGUAAAAGAGCUCGUAGGCGGUUUGUCGCGUCUGCCGUGAAAAGUCCCGGGGCUUAAACCCCGGAUCUGCGGUGGGUACGGGCGAGACUAGAGUGAUGUAGGGGAGACUGGAAUUCCUGGUGUAGCGGUGAAAUGCGCAGAUAUCAGGAGGAACACCGAUGGCGAAGGCAGGUCUCUGGGCAUUAACUGACGCUGAGGAGCGAAAGCAUGGGGGAGGCGAACAGGAUU